CAAUAGCGUAUAUUUAAGUUGUUGCAGUUAAAAAGCUCGUAGUUGGAUUUCGGGUGGGACGCAGCGGUCUCGCAUUGCGUUUGUACUGCUGCCGCCCUCCUUCUUGCCGGGGGCGGCCUCUCGGACUUCACUGUCUGGGGGUCAGAAUCGGCGAUGUUACUUUGAGUAAAUUAGAGUGUUCAAAGCAAGCUUACGCUCUGAAUAUAAUAGCAUGGGAUAACACGACAGGACUCUGGCCUAUCGUGUUGGUCUAUAGGACCAGAGUAAUGAUUAAGAGGGACAGUCGGGGGCAUUCGUAUUCCGUUGUCAGAGGUGAAAUUCUUGGAUUUACGGAAGACGAACAUCUGCGAAAGCAUUUGCCAAGGAUGUUUNCAUUG
rnacentral:rRNA from 1 species